rnacentral:rRNA from 1 species
AUUGAACGCUGGAGGCAGGCCUAACACAUGCAAGUCGAACGAGUGGCGGACGGGUGAGUAAUGUCUGGGAAACUGCAUGAUGGAGGGGGAUAACUACUGGAAACGGUAGCUAAUACCGCAUAACAUCGGAUGUGACCAGAUGGGAUUAGCUAGUAGGUGGGGUAAAGGCUCACCUAGGCGAGGAUCCCUAGCUGGUCUGAGAGUAUGACCAGCCCCCCUGGAACUGAUGCACGGUCCCGACUCCUACGGGAGUCAGCAUUGGGGAAUAUUUCACAAUGGGCGCAAGCCUGAUUCAGCCAUGCCGCAUGUAUGAAGAAGGCCUUCGGGUUGUAAAGUACUUUCAGCGGGGAGGCGUUACCCGCAGAAGAAUCACCGGCUAACUCCGUGCCAGCCGCCGCGGUAAUAC